GGCGGUAAUAACCCAACGGGUAUAUUAGAUGUCGGGAGUUGUGCGUAUUUCCCGUAAAUAAAACGUUCAACCUUUUUAAAUGGCGAAAGACAAUACGCCCUUGCUGCCUAAUCAGAUUUAGAUAGCAAUGUGUCUCUCUCACCCCUCGUUCUGCCGGGUGGGAAUAUGAGACAUCACAAAGCAGAACUGGUGUUGGUAGGUUCGUGAUAUCAGCAUAAGAUUAACCGCGAAUAAGGUAAGGCUUAGGAUGGUUGCUGUCCUUGUCCGGCUCGAAAAUUAAUCAGCAAAUAAGCAUGUAGAAGGCACUUAGUGUUCCUUAUCUGGACGAGGGUUCGAAUCCCUCCGGCUCCACCU
rnacentral:tmRNA from 1 species